ensembl:ncRNA F10F2.11 ncRNA
GCUAUCUCACUCGAAGGUUGAAGCAUUUUAUUUUGAAAAAAAGACUAAUCGAAUACUAAAAAGAAAUUUGUAUUUUUUGAAAUACAGCUAGGUUUGGAUAUUGCCGAAAAUGUUCGCCAUUCGGCAAUUUCGGCAAUUCUUAAUUUUACA